rnacentral:rRNA from 1 species
CCUACGGGAGGCAGCAGUGAGGGAUAUUGGUCAAUGGACGCAAGUCUGAACCAGCCAUGCCGCGUGCAGGAAGACGGCUCUAUGAGUUGUAAACUGCUUUUGUACGGAGGUAAACGCAGAUACGCGUAUCUGUAUGAAAGUAUCAUACGAAUCAGGAUCGGCUAACUCCGUGCCAGCAGCCGCGGUAAUACGGAGGAUUCAAGCGUUAUCCGGAUUUAUUGGGUGUAACGGGUGCGUAGGCGGUCGGAUAAGUUAGAGGUGAAAUCCCGAGGCUCAACUUCGGAAUUGCCUCUGAUACUGUUCGGCUAGAGAGUAGUUGCGGUAGGCGGAAUGUAUGGUGUAGCGGUGAAAUGCUUAGAGAUCAUACAGAACACCGAUUGCGAAGGCAGCUUACCAAGCUACUUCUGACGUUGAGGCACGAAAGCGUGGGAAGCAAACAGGAUUAGAUACCCUUGUAGUC